rnacentral:rRNA from 1 species
AUUGAACGCUGGCGGCAUGCUUUACACAUGCAAGUAGAACGGCAGCGCGGGCUUCGGCCUGGCGGCGAGUGGCGAACGGGUGAGUAAUGCAUCGGAACGUGCCCAGUAGUGGGGGAUAGCCCGGCGAAAGCCGGAUUAAUACCGCAUACGACCUGAGGGUGAAAGCGGGGGACCGAAAGGCCUCGCGCUAUUGGAGCGGCCGAUGUCGGAUUAGCUAGUUGGUGGGGUAAAGGCUUACCAAGGCGACGAUCCGUAGCUGGUCUGAGAGGACGACCAGCCACACUGGGACUGAGACACGGCCCAGACUCCUACGGGAGGCAGCAGUGGGGAAUUUUGGACAAUGGGGGCAACCCUGAUCCAGCCAUGCCGCGUGCGGGAAGAAGGCCUUCGGGUUGUAAACCGCUUUUGUUCGGGAAGAAAUCCUCUGGGCUAAUACCCCGGGGGGAUGACGGUACCGGAAGAAUAAGCACCGGCUAACUACGUG